rnacentral:rRNA from 1 species
GACGAACGCUGGCGGCGUGCUUAACACAUGCAAGUCGAACGGAAAGGCCCUGCUUUUUUGGGGUUCUCGAGUGGCGAACGGGUGAGUAACACGUGAGUAACCUGCCCUUGACUUUGGGAUAACUUCAGGUAACUGGGGCUACUACCGGAUAGGAGCUCCUGCUGCAUGGUGGGGGUUGGAAAGUUUCGGCGGUUGGGGAUGGACUCGCGGCUUAUCAGCUUGUUGGUGGGGUAGUGGCUUACCCAGGCUUUGACGGGUAGCCGGCCUGUGAGGGUGACCGGGCACAUUGGGACUGAGAGACGGCGCAGACUCCUACGGGAGGCAGCAGGGGGGAAUAUGGCACAAUGGGCGGAAGCCUGAUGCAGCAACGCCGCGUGCGGGAUGACGGCCUUCGGGUUGUAAACCGCUUUCGCCUGUGACGAAGCGGGAGUGACGGUAAUGGGUAAAGAAGCACCGGCUAACUACGUG